rnacentral:rRNA from 1 species
ACGCUCGACACCUACGGGAGGCAGCAGUGGGGAAUAUUGCACAAUGGGGGAAACCCUGAUGCAGCGACGCCGCGUGAAGGAAGAAGUAUUUCGGUAUGUAAACUUCUAUCAGCAGGGAAGAAAAUGACGGUACCUGACUAAGAAGCCCCGGCUAACUACGUGCCACAGCCGCGGUAAUCUGAGCGGGCUGGCAAGGC